rnacentral:tmRNA from 1 species
GGGGGAGCCGGUGGAUGACGUACCCAAGGUGACCGGCACACCGGGCCGCGCCGUGGUAUAAUGCAUAUUAGCCGUUUUGUGCCCCGGCGGAUGUCCUUGCGGGUACCUCAGGUGCCCAGGCGGGGCCCGUGCCAGGGCACGCAUCCCUGCGGGGGUGAUUCUAGAUUCGACGCCGGUAGGGUGGGCUGGAGAAGCGAGCCGAGGUUCCGCCCCUCGUUAAACAGCGGAACGGCCAAUAAGUGCCAACGAAGAGCUCGCUCUGGCUGCUUAAUCACUAGCGGCCAAGCCGCGUGAGCCCUCGCCUGCGGGGCUGGCGCGGUUUCAUACCGGCAGGCUGGCUGCCGGCCCGGCCCGCGGGGCCGGCGGCGAGAUUCCAAGCGGGCUGGCCUGCCGCGGACCCGGCCCCUGGGGGCCCGGCGGGCGAGAGCCAAACAGGGGCUACGCUCGUAGAGGCUCCGGCUGGCCCGCUGGCGGACCGGGGUGCAAAUCCCCGCACCUCCACCG